ensembl:rRNA 5S_rRNA 5S ribosomal RNA
GCUUACGGGCACACCGCCUGGUUCAUGCCCGAUCUCGUUUGAUCUCGGAAGCUAAGAUAGGUUGGGCCUGGUUAGUACUUGGAUGGGAGACCGCCUGGGAAUACCAGGUGCUGUAAGGC